rnacentral:rRNA from 1 species
GACGAACGCUGGCGGCGUGCCUAAUACAUGCAAGUAGAACGCUGAAGGAGGAGCUUGCUUCUCUGGAUGAGUUGCGAACGGGUGAGUAACGCGUAGGUAACCUGCCUGGUAGCGGGGGAUAACUAUUGGAAACGAUAGCUAAUACCGCAUAAUAGUAGAUGUUGCAUGACAUUUGCUUAAAAGGUGCAAUUGCAUCACUACCAGAUGGACCUGCGUUGUAUUAGCUAGUUGGUGGGGUAACGGCUCACCAAGGCGACGAUACAUAGCCGACCCGAGAGGGUGAUCGGCCACACUGGGACUGAGACACGGCCCAGACUCCUACGGGAGGCAGCAGUAGGGAAUCUUCGGCAAUGGACGGAAGUCUGACCGAGCAACGCCGCGUGAGUGAAGAAGGUUUUCGGAUCGUAAAGCUCUGUUGUAAGAGAAGAACGAGUGUGAGAGUGGAAAGUUCACACUGUGACGGUAUCUUACCAGAAAGGGACGGCUAACUACGUG